UACGGGGGGGCAAGCGUUGUUCGGAUUUACUGGGCGUAAAGGGCGCGUAGGCGGUCAGCACAAGUCAGUUGUGAAAUCUCCGGGCUUAACUCGGAAAGGUCAACUGAUACUGUGCGACUAGAGUGCGGAAGGGGCAACUGGAAUUCUCGGUGUAGCGGUGAAAUGCGUAGAUAUCGAGAGGAACACCUGCGGCGAAGGCGGGUUGCUGGGCUGACACUGACGCUGAUGCGCGAAAGCCAGGGGAGCGAACGGG
rnacentral:rRNA from 1 species